ensembl:snoRNA SNORA62 Small nucleolar RNA SNORA62/SNORA6 family
UCUGCACAUUGUUAGAGCUUGGGGUUGAGGCCGCUGGCCGGUGAACUCUCAAGUGUAGGUAGUGUGCUACACGAGCGGCAAGUUUUCGCUAACGCCACAAGGGUCUCUGGCCCAAUGAGUGGAGUUGGAUAGUAAUACUUGCUACAAAA